AAAUAGAUUUAGCUUACAAGCAACUUUAUAUAGGAUAAAAAAUAGGUUUUAUGCCUUGAUAUUGACCAAACCACUUGUAUAUUUGAUGGCUUAACUAUGUGAAACAUGAAGAACCUCCAGUUCCCCUGAACAUUUACAUCUUCCAUGUUUAAGUUUAUCAAAAGUUUCUCUACCUCUGGGUUAGUUUCUCAAUUAUUUUCUUCCAUAAUUUUAAUAUUAAAAUAAAUUUUAACCUUAAUUAUGGAAGUCUCCAUACAUUAAAACUAAAACCUUUUAUUUAUAUAUGUAUUUUACAAAUAUAUAUUUAGUCCACUUUUGAAUGGUUCUAGGUGACAUAACGUGUAGUGUAGUAAAAUAUAAAAUAUAAUACAGUAUGUUUAUUUACUUACUAUAAUUGGAAGUUAUACUACAAUAGCCACAAUAAAGUCACAGCACAAAUGAAAUUUUUUUCCAGUCCAACCGUGGUUGGCUAUGUUGAUAUCUCUAUAUUAGUUCAUAUAAUGAAUUUGGUUUGUAGUAUCUGGUAGAGAGCUCAUUUACUUAGCUUAAAAUUCAAGAUGGAGAAGAACUUGGAAGGUGAAAGAACAUAAUCCCUGUUAUAUGUAAAGUUCAUUUGUAUAUAAAGCUAUAGAAUUAAAUAAUUUUACAAGACCAAUGAAAAAUGGGGAAGCUAAAAGAAAAAGAGGAUAUUUGUGGCACACACCUGCAUAUUGUAAAAAGGAAUAUAUGGCCAUGAAUUUUGACAUGAAAAUGUUUUAUAUUUAGUUUGCUAUAAAAAAAUAAGAGAACUAUUGAAUUACCUUUUGGCUUAGAGUUGUAUGUAUGUGUGUAUCUUUGUUGUGUUUUUGCAGUCAAAUGGACUUGAACCUCGAGAAAGUUUAGCUCAAGACUUGGGCAUUUUAGAACCUAAAGCUCUAGUAGAUGGGCCCUUGCUACUAGAAGUGGUCAGAAGAUGUCAGCAGAAAAAAGGCUUUUCUAACAGUGGAGACGUAGCUCCAGUAAUAUCUGAAAAUGUACAUUCACCUCCAAAAUCAUCAGAUGAAAGGUCUAACAUACUUUCAGUGCCAAGUAAGACAUGAAGAAAUCCGUGACUUUGCGAAUAAAUGGAUAUUAGAAAGAAAAGAAGUACUUCAGAGGACAUCAGGACGGAUGCCUCUUUUUACACCCCCCUCCGGAUGGAGUUGGGGCUGGGUAGUCGUGGCGGCGGCGG